rnacentral:rRNA from 1 species
CUGGCUCAGGAUGAACGCUAGCGACAGGCUUAACACAUGCAAGUCGAGGGGCAGCAUAAAAGUAGCAAUACUUGGUGGCGACCGGCGCACGGGUGAGUAACGCGUAUGCAACCUACCUAUCAGAGGGGAAUAACCCGGCGAAAGUCGGACUAAUACCGCAUAAAACAGGGGCACCGCAUGGUGAUAUUUGUUAAAGAAAUUCGCUGAUAGAUGGGCAUGCGUUCCAUUAGGUAGUUGGUGAGGUAACGGCUCACCAAGCCGACGAUGGAUAGGGAACUGAGAGGUUGGUCCCCCACACUGGUACUGAGACACGGACCAGACUCCUACGGGAGGCAGCAGUGAGGAAUAUUGGUCAAUGGGCGGGAGCCUGAACCAGCCAAGUCGCGUAGGAAGGAAGAAGGAUCUAUGGUUACGUAAACUUCUUUGCAGGGGAAUAAAGUGCAGGACGUGUCCUGUUUUGUAUGUACCCUGAGAAUAAGGAUCGGCUAACUCCGUGCCAGCCGCCGC